rnacentral:rRNA from 1 species
GAUGAACGCUGGCGGCGUGCCUAAUACAUGCAAGUCGAGCGAACAGACGAGGAGCUUGCUCCUCUGACGUUAGCGGCGGACGGGUGAGUAACACGUGGAUAACCUACCUAUAAGACUGGGAUAACUUCGGGAAACCGGAGCUAAUACCGGAUAAUAUAUUGAACCGCAUGGGUCAAUAGUGAAAGACGGUGUUGCUGUCACUUAUAGAUGGAUCCGCGCCGCAUUAGCUAGUUGGUAAGGUAACGGCUUAUUAAGGCAACGAUGCGUAGCCGACCUGAGAGGGUGAUCGGCCACACUGGAACUGAGACACGGUCCAGACUCCUACGGGAGGCAGCAGUAGGGAAUCUUCCGCAAUGGGCGAGAGCUUGACGGAGCAACGCCGCGUGAGUGAUGAAGGUCUCCGGAUCGUAAAACUCUGUUAUUAGUGAAGAACAAAUGUGUAAGUAACUAUGCACGUCUUGACGGUACCUAAUCAGAAAGCCACGGCUAACUACGUG